UGCUUGGGAUUCUCUCUCUCUCCCUCCCCGGCUCAUGCUCACUCUCUGUCUCUCAAAGUAAAUAGAUGAACAUUAAAGACAAAGAAAGAAAAACAAGAUGUGGUCAAGUACCUACCUCAUGAAAAUGUCCCCAACUACAGAGCCAUCCGAGGAACCACUUCAUGCACUCUCGAGUUCACAGUAGGUAGUGGCAGAAGGGAUGCUGACAGGAUGCGCCCCGCCUGGCCACAUCUGGCCUGCUAGUUAUAGACCCCAGACCUCUUCACCUCCGAGUGAAAGUGCUGAUGUGCCCAUGGGAUGGGUAUUUUCUAGAAGGCGAUCUCUGAGUGACCUUUUCUUAUGUGCCUCUAGCAGUAAGGUGGCCACUGCUGGGUCUGCCAUGUCCUUCCCAGACUUAACCAUCACUGUUGGUCUCUGUUCCAAAGGGAACAUUUUCUUCCCACCUGCUGUCACGGCUUAGACAUGACCAGCACGGUGGUUACAGAAUCACUCUUGUGUACAGUCUAGUCUGUUUCAGAUAGCCUUUUCAUUUAUGAAAAGAAUUAUUUCCACUAACACUAAGGAACAGAUGGUAAAGUUAAUAGUAGAGGCUACCCAGAAAAUCCAACCUUUACAAUCUUAGUGUGGUAAUGGGAAACCAGGGCUUUCUAAUUUGUCAUUGUCAUAUUUUGUGGCAAUUAUGUGUCCUAUGUUAACAUAAUAAGCUCUAGCCUGAGGAAUUACCGCUGGUAUAAUUAAGAGACCUACUGUUACACACACUGUUCCAAAAAUACCGCUGUGUUGUUCUGUUCCCUUUAACAAGAAUGGAGACUAGCUUUGCGAUUCCUCAUAUUAUUUAAAAAAAAAAAAAAAUCCCAGCCUUACAAAUGGACUGGCUCAUUGUCAUACAAUUUAGUGGUGAAGAAACUGUUCUAAGCAACUCUUACCAAAAAUAGCCAUACCUAUUAACAUUCCCCUGCCUGCAGCUGAGAAGCAGAGUUACAAGAGAGCUGUAUGAGUUUUUGACCAAUGCUUUGUUUUUAAAGUGAGAGACUAUUUAAUCUUUUUAGUUCUCAAAGUUAGAAGGAUAGUCCUUAGUGUUACUGGGGCAGAUCUCGCUACCAAAAUAAUCUUUUUCUCCCACAAAAGGCAGUUCACCCUAAAAGCAUCACUUGAUGAGCAAAAAUAAAAUAUGAGAAAGGCUGUGUAUAUAAGUACCUAGUGCCAUUUCAUAGAUCUUUUUAUGUCGUUUGGAAAUUGUGUUUUCCGCUCACUAGGUCCAGAGCAUUACUCCCACAGCAGCGCUUUUACAUCUGUCUUUGACCUUUGUGGCUACAAGUCCAGAUAACUGCACUUGGUUGCAGGCCAAACUCCAUUUCCGUACUGUUGUAGCCGGGCUGCCCCGCUGGGGGGCAGCACCUCACAAGCGAUCGGGGCCUUGGCGUGAGGCGUUUGGAGCUAAGCUUCAACCCGAGGACACCAGAGGACAUCGCCGCCGUUGGGGCAGAAAGGCGCACUAAUGAAAAUUAGUCACGGAUCUCUGUUGUCCGUAUAGAGCAAAGACAGGCAGGUCUCAAAGCAUAUUCUGAAGGGGUACUUUUUCGAAGAGACCAGCUUGGAUGUGUGUGCUGAGGAUCCAUCUAUUUGUUCUCUUCCCACUGCAGAACCCUCCCCAGCACGGACUGUGCGGGGCUUUUGGAGCUGGUCGUAAGGCAGGUGUGAGCGCCCCUGUUUAGCCGGAGAGCCUGCUUGUUCAUCUUUGAAACGUUCGGAGAGAUCUUUUUGCAUGUGAAUGCAAGUUGUGAAUCUCCAAGAGAGGGGGUUGCUAAUGUAGGAUUUUCCAGAGCUAUUUUCAGCAUUCAUCUUCGAACCAUCUUCAGGGCUGACGCUCCUGGAACACCUUGAACAAUACUAAUCGGUUGGUGGCAGCUUUCCUGGUGGAGGAAUGUUAACCCAUCCACGGGGCAGGAGAAAAACAAAACAAAACAAGAGAUGGGGGCUUAGCCACGGAUCUAGGAAGAUCUUCCUCGUUUUUUGUUUUAAUAAUCCACCAUCAUCAAGUAGGUAAAUGAAUUGUUUGAAAGCCCGGGUGUCAGCAGCUCUGGACAGGCUGCCGUUUGCUGCUUUCUGGUGAAGAUCAAAGGUGCCAGUGGACGUGCACUCACGUGUCAGAGAAGACCUGGCUGGGACCAACAACCCUGAGAAGAUCAGGGCCACAUGGGCUUGGAACCCCAAGUUGGGAGCAGUCCAGCCACCACUCUUGCGUCUACACCCCGGUUUCUGAACGCAGACUCAAGUGCCUGCUGUCAGAGCCUCUCACUCAGGCUCGUGUCCUCCUUGAGACUCCUGGUGUCAGGAGACCGUCUUCCACACUUCCCCCACAUUCCCGAAUGUUGCCAGGGGGUGGCUGCUUUGUUCUUGUGUGCACUGUUACCUGACAAAGCCUUCCAGUUCCUUUUGUUUUGUGUUGCAUCCUCCCAUGUCAGCUCACCACGUAGACCCCUUAUGAGCCCGAGAAGCCAGCACUCAACACUGUGCAGAGGAAACAGAAGCUGUACAGUGAGACACAGAGCUGGGACUAGCCCUCAGGCCCUCCCCUCCCACACACACCCACCAGGGCCCCUCCAGGUCUGUGUCCUGCCCUCUUCUGCCCACAUCCUCCCAUGGCUUUGCUGAAGCUUCUAGCUCUUACUCUGUUCCUGGUCUCUCCCUGCUCCCUAGGCUCCCCCGCCCAUGACGCCUCAACCUUCGUCAUCAGCCCCUCGUGCCAGACUCCAUCGUUCUCACCAUCAUCACAAACCUCCCUGCCCUCCCGCCCUCCCACUGCACCCUCAUGGCCAAACCCCAAGCUGGGAUCAGUCCAGCUGCUACCCUUGCCUGUGCCUCUCACGCCUGGGACUGCUUGCCUGGCACAGUGUCCAUGAUUCCCUUCAAACUCCAUCCUCCUUAAACCUCUGACUCACUCAACCCAGGAUAGCACCCCCGAUUUCACAGAGAAAACAGCCACCAGACAGCAACUCCUGUAACUUUCUGUCACCAAAUUUAUAAAUGUGCCUGUACCAGA